UGCACAAAAGAGUAUGGUGCAAACAUACCAAUUAUACUAUGUAUAUUGCAAUUGGUAAGAAAAUUGAACAAAAGAGUAUGGUGCAAACAUUCCAAUUAUACUCCUUUUCUUCAUACCAGGGGUAAACUCCAGAUGUUAGCCUUUUAUAACUCAAUUUUUGUGAAAUGUAAAAUAAAAAUUAUAGUAGCAAGAAUAAAAAACAUCGCAGUAAAACAUAUUUG
rnacentral:lncRNA from 1 species